rnacentral:rRNA from 1 species
GGAUGAAUAUUGGUCAAUGGUCGGGAGACUGAACCAGCCAAGCCGCGUGAGGGAUGAAGGUACAGAGUAUCGUAAACCUCUUUUGUCAGGGAACAAAAGGCGCCACGCGUGGCGCUCCGAGUGUACCUGAAGAAAAAGCAUCGGCUAACUCCGUGCCAGCAGCCGCGGUAAUACGGAGGAUGCGAGCGUUAUCCGGAUUUAUUGGGUUUAAAGGGUGCGUAGGCGGCGAGUUAAGUCAGCGGUAAAAGCCCGGGGCUCAACCCCGGCCCGCCGUUGAAAUCUGCUUGCUUGAGUUGGAGAGAAGUAGGCGGAAUGCGCGGUGUAGCGGUGAAAUGCUUAGAUAUCGCGCAGAACUCCGAUUGCGAAGGCAGCCUACCGGCUCCACACUGACGCUGAGGCACGAAAGCGUGGGUAUCGAACAGGAUUAGAUACC